rnacentral:rRNA from 1 species
UACAGAGGGUGCGAGCGUUAAUCGGAAUGACUGGGCGUAAAGGGCGCGUAGGUGGUUUAUCAAGUUUGGUGUGAAAGCCCUGGGCUUAACCGAGGAAGGGCAUCAAAAACGGGUAGACUAGAGUCAGAGAGAGGGUUGUGGAAUUUCCGGUGUAGCGGUGAAAUGCGUAGAGAUCGGAGGGAACACCAGCGGCGAAGGCGGCAACCUGGUUCUAGACUGACACUGAGGCGCGAAGGCGUGGGGAGCAAACAGG